rnacentral:miRNA from 1 species
UGCAUAUUUUGUUAAGAGGAUAUUAAUAAAAGUUGUUCGCCUUGAUGAGGGCUACAACUUUGCUUAAUAUUUUUUCAACAAAUUAUGCGUAUUUAAGGAGAUACGUCUGCGCAUGGGCCCAGAACCGUAACUUUUUACGCUUGCAUAUUUUGUUAAGAGGAUAUUAAUAAAAGGCAAGAGCGUAACUCCAUUACGCUUGCAUAUUUUGUUAAGAGGAUAUUAAUAAAAGUUGUUCGCCUUGAUGAGGGCUACAACUUUGCUUAAUAUCUUUUCAACAAAUUAUGCG